GGAGGAGGAGCAGGCUGGGUUGUGUAGGGAGGAGGAGGACAGGCUGGGUUGUGUAGGGAGGAGGAGAGCAGGCUGGGUUGUGUAGGGAGGAGGAGAGCAUGCUGGGUUGUGUAGGGAGGAGGAGGGCAGGCUGGGUUGUGUAGGGAGGAGGAGGACAGGCUGGGUUGUGUAGGGAGGAGGAGAGCAGGCUGGGUUGUGUAGGGAGGAGGAGAGCAUGCUGGGUUGUGUAGGGAGGAGGAGGACAGGCUGGGUUGUGUAGGGAGGAGGAGAGCAGGCUGGGUUGUGUAGGGAGGAGGAGAGCAUGCUGGGUUGUGUAGGGAGGAGGAGGGCAGGCUGGGUUGUGUAGGGAGGAGGAGAGCAGGCUGGGUUGUGUAGGGAGGAGGAGGACAGGCUGGGUUGUGUAGGGAGGAGGAGAGCAGGCUGGGUUGUGUAGGGAGGAGGAGAGCAUGCUGGGUUGUGUAGGGAGGAGGAGGACAGGCUGGGUUGUGUAGGGAGGAGGAGGACAGGCUGGGUUGUGUAGGGAGGAGGAGAGCAGGCUGGGUUGUGUAGGGUGUGUGUAUGUAGUAGAGAGGGUUUUAUGAGGUGAAGGUGACAAAGCAUUAUUCAUUGCAAUGUGCUGUGUGUGUCAAUCAGUAUGUUCAUUUUUCGAACUGUUCAUACAGUUCAAAAAUCUAUGCAAAGAUAGGAAUUGACAGCACACAUACACACACACACACACACAUACACACACACACACACAUACACAUACAUACACACACAUACACACACAUACACAUACAUACACACACAUACACACACAUACACACACAUACAUAUACAUACACACACAUACCCACACAUACACACACAUACACACACAUAAAUAUGCAUUUGACAAAACACACUGUACGUGUGUCCUAGUCUGUUCAGUAUCUGUAAUAUCUGUAGUAUCUGUAGUAUCUGUAGUAUCUGCAGUAUCUGUAGUAUCUGUAGUAUCUGCAGUAUCUGUAGUAUCAGUAGUAUCUGUAGUAUCUGCAGUAUCUGUAGUAUCUGCAGUAUCUGUAGUAUCUGUAGUAUCUGCAGUAUCUGCAGUAUCAGUAGUAUCAGUAGUAUCUGUAGUAUCUGCAGUAUCAGUAGUAUCAGUAGUAUCUGUAGUAUCUGCAGUAUCUGUAGUAUCUGCAGUAUCUGUAGUAUCUGCAGUAUCUGUAGUAUCAGUAGUAUCUGUAGUAUCUGCAGUAUCUGCAGUAUCUGUAGUAUCUGUAGUAUCUGUAGUAUCUGCAGUAUCUGCAGUAUCUGCAGUAUCUGUAGUAUCAGUAGUAUCUGUAGUAUCUGUAGUAUCUGCAGUAUCUGCAGUAUCUGCAGUAUCUGUAGUAUCAGUAGUAUCUGUAGUAUCUGCAGUAUCUGUAGUAUCUGCAGUAUCUGUAGUAUCAGUAGUAUCUGUAGUAUCUGUAGUAUCAGUAGUAUCUGUAGUAUCUGCAGUAUCUGCAGUAUCUGUAGUAUCAGUAGUAUCUGUAGUAUCUGCAGUAUCUGCAGUAUCUGUAGUAUCUGCAGUAUCUGUAGUAUCUGUAGUAUCAGUAGUAUCUGCAGUAUCUGCAGUAUCUGUAGUAUCAGUAGUAUCUGUAGUAUCUGCAGUAUCUGCAGUAUCUGCAGUAUCUGUAGUAUCAGUAGUAUCUGUAGUAUCUGCAGUAUCUGCAGUAUCUGUAGUAUCUGCAGUAUCUGUAGUAUCUGUAGUAUCUGUGUCGGGAAUGUUAAUCAGCUUGUGUGUGUGUGUGUGUGUGUGUGUGUUUGUGCAUGCUUAUGUGUGUUUGUUUGUGUACCUUUGUGCAUGCUUGAAAUGCAUGUUUAAGUGUGUGCAUGUGUGUGUCAGAGUGUCAGUGCUCUGAGGUAAACAGCUGUCACUGUCUCAGUGGUGUGUGUUUCAGGUUGGGGGCAAAGCGGAUGGUGGUUGCUAGGUAACCAGGUAGAAUAGGGCUUGAAUUACACCGGUGUCUCUCCCUGUCCCAAAUGCAGGCACCUCUUUUCUCCGACCUCAUCCGCUCUUUCCUAAAGCUAGACACCCAUCUCGUAUUUUUUGGUGGAGUUUGAGGCCUCUGCGAGGAGAAGCAAUAUACAACCAACUGAAAAGUACUACAUCUUACAUUUGGAACCUUUUGGAACUCUCUAGAACCUUCCAGAACCUUGAAGAACGUUAGAAUUUUCUGAUCCCUGUUGACGUCUACUAGGAGCCACCCGAGGAACUGAAGCAACUUUUUCGCUUUUCUCUGACUAGUCUGUUGUCUCUACUGGUCUGAACUGGUUUUUGUGGUUUGUACUGGUCUGAACUGGUCUGUAGUGGUCAAGAUGCGACGGUUAGAGCUAAAGGCCCUCUGUGCAGCAUUGCUGGUCUUUGCAGUGGUGAGCGCCACUUCCUGUCAGUCGGACUCUUCAGACUGCUCCCAGGCUGAGUCAUGUGACCUGUGUGUUGGAGACUCCACCCUCAACCUGACUGGCUGUGUCUGGAGGGUCUGCGUGAACGGCAAUGAUACUGGGUGUGUGUCCUAUCAGGAUGAUUCUCAGAACUGUAAUGUGACAAGUGACCCAGACAUGUGUACAGUCAUAGAGAUUGAGGCAGAAGGUAAAGGGGACUCAGAUGGAUCUCCUGCAGAGCCGUCAGAGUUCUCUCAGGCCAGCUUUGACCUGUCCAGUUUCAUUGGAGGCAUCAUCCUGGUGUUGUGUGUCCAGGCCGGGGGCUUCUUCACCAUGCGCUUCCUCAAGAAAGAUGCCACCUACGACCCUAUAGAGCAGCCAGCCUAGAGGAGAGAGAGAAGAGGAGGACAGUGAAGGAUGAAAGAUUGAGGGUGCUGUGACUCACCAUGCUGUCACGAUGCUUUAUAUGACGUCAUGUACCAUACUCCAGUGUCUGUGUGUGUGUUGUACUUGUGUGUGUGUUAUACUUGUCUGUGUGUCCCAGAUGUGCACCUGUGUACAUUGUUUUGUUUGACUGAUUGUUCAUUAUGUUGUGUAACACCUGUUUCUCUCUCUGUGUGUGUGUGUGUGUGUGUGUGUGUGUGUGGUGUGUGUGUCAGCAUGCGUGUGUGUGUGUUCUCUUCGUCCCAUCAGGUGGACUUUCCCUGAUGCCUGUGUGUCAAUUUCUAUUUUCAUAGUCUGAUGUGUUUCACCUGGAUCUAAUAUGAGUGCAAUAUUUACAUUGGGUGUUCAGGUUCCAUGUGUAAUGAAUGUGUAAUGAUUUGAAUUGUGUUUAAACAUGUUCAGGAGUUAGUUUUGUUGAACUGGUUUGGUUUGAGCUGCAUUCAGGAGGGAGGGGUCUGGGAUCUGUUCUGUGUUGUUUAUGAAAAUAAACACAAUACAAAACAAAUCUGUGUUUACGCUAGUGUGAGUGUGUAUAUGAGAGCAAGAGAGAAAAAAAGAGAGUGAGAAAGAGAGAGA
ensembl:lncRNA